AACGCACAUUGCGCCUGCUGGUAUUCCGGUAGGCAUGCCUGUUUGAGCGUCAGCAAAACCUCUCAGCUACUACUUUAUUGUAUACUGCUGGUUAUGGGUGAUUUGGAGGAACCUUGGUCCCUUGUGGCCAGCUCCCACCUUAAACUUGCUGCACGACCGCAAGCUAAUGCUAGGUUAAUGGAGUGGUAUUUUCUUAUAAUUCCAGCGACUCUUACAUAGCUACUGCGGCGUUAAACCUGAUGUCGUCUAAACCGCGACUGAAGUUUGACCUCAAAUCAGACAAGGAUACCCGCUGAACUUAA
rnacentral:misc_RNA from 1 species